rnacentral:misc_RNA from 1 species
GAAAUGCGAUAAUUAAUGUGAAUUGCAGAAUUCAGUGAAUCAUCGAGUCUUUGAACGCAGAUUGCGCCCCCUGGUAUUCCGGGGGGCAUGCCUGUCCGAGCGUCAUUGCUGCCCUCAAGCACGGCUUGUGUGUUGGGCUUCCGUCCCUGGCAACGGGGACGGGCCCAAAAGGCAGUGGCGGCACCAUGUCUGGUCCUCGAGCGUAUGGGGCUUUGUCACCCGCUCCCGUAGGUCCAGCUGGCAGCUAGCCUCGCAACCAAUCUUUUUAACCAGGUUGACCUCGGAUCAGGUAGGGAUACCCGCUGAACUUAAGC